AGCUGGAUGUGGAAAAAAUAACUGAGUUGUUUGGUGGUGGAGCUACAACAGAGGGCAGCUACCCACCGGUGUGUGACAGAAAGGACAUGCCGCCAACGAGACAUAUGAGGCCGGGCAGGCGAUUGCUAACGCGGUGGUCAAUCAUGGAUCAGGGAAAGCGAAGGCAGGAGCGUGAGGUGAACUGAAUUUCAGGACUGGAAGAUCCAAACUGUUAUCGUCAGAUGAGAGGACAUCGGUUACUGUCCAAAAGCUCGACUGAAAUUUGUAGCUAACCACACAAAGAAGUCGACAACCUCCUAAAGAAAAGUUUGAUGGUCAGACGAGACAAGGUGAGGCUGUCAAACCUACAAACAUUUACAGCUAUCAGGUAUGGUGGUGGUGGUUGGACACAACUGGGUGUUCCUUUUUUUUUUUUUCCCUUUUGCCUGUCCCGUUUGGUUCUUUAGCCGUCAGAAUUGAUGUCUGAAGGCCAACAAAGAUACCCAACGGAUUUACUUUACAAAGUGGAAAGUAAAUCAUCGCAGCCUUGCCAUAUUGGUCCAUUUGAUCGACCUUUGUUGUUGUCAUUUAUUUUAUUUUCAGUUGUUACAGACGGGACAGACAUGGCUGGGGGACAAGAAAGGGAGAAAGAAAGAUGAACGAAAAGAAAAACAGAGGGAAGAGGGACAGUGAGAAAGGGCACUUAAAAAACAAACAACAACAACAACUGGGUGUUUCAACAGGACUGUGACUGUAAUCACACAUAAAUUGAUAAAGCAGACCAACACUAGACAUCCGGAAUUUCCUUACCAAAGCCACGACCUCAACCUUGUUGACAAUUUGUGGACUGCUUAAAAUAAAAAAAGAAAGAAAAAAAAAUAUUCAGCGUCAAGGAAUCCUACCAAUUUUACUUGUUAAAUUUUGACACUGUGUGGAUUAGAAAAAAUCCAAAAUAAAUUUGAACUUGUGCACCAUAUUCUUGUCUUCUUUUUUUUUUUUUUUUUUUUUUU
ensembl:lncRNA